rnacentral:rRNA from 1 species
UACGUAGGGCGCAAGCGUUGUCCGGAAUUAUUGGGCGUAAAGAGCUCGUAGGCGGUGUGUCGCGUCGGCCGUGAAAACCUGGGGCUUAACUCUGGGCGUGCGGUCGAUACGGGCAUCACUGGAGUUCGGCAGGGGAGACUGGAAUUCCUGGUGUAGCGGUGAAAUGCGCAGAUAUCAGGAGGAACACCGGUGGCGAAGGCGGGUCUCUGGGCCGAUACUGACGCUGAGGAGCGAAAGCAUGGGUAGCGAACAGG